rnacentral:rRNA from 1 species
GAUGAACGCUGGCGGCGUGCCUAAUUACAUGCAAGUCGAACGGAGCACCUUGGUGCUCAGUGGCGAACGGGUGAGGAGAACAUAGGUAACCUGCCCCUCCGAGGGGGACAACAGCUGGAAACGGCUGCUAAGACCGCAUAGACGCAUUCAGGGCAUCCUGGAUGCGCUAAAUGACCGGAUGGUCAGCGGGGGGAUGGACCUAUGCAGUAUUAGCUGGUUGGCGGGGCAACGGCCCACCAAGGCGACGAUACUUAGCCGGCCUGAGAGGGCGGACGGCCACACUGGGACUGAGACACGGCCCAGACUCCUACGGGAGGCAGCAGUAGGGAAUUUUCGGCAAUGGGGGAAACCCUGACCGAGCAACGCCGCGUGAACGAAGAAGGCC